UCUUGGGUGAUGAAGGGCUGCAGGAGAGCGAGAGCUGUGCUGUGUGCUGCCGCAUCCCAGGACUGGGGAGGGCCCUGCAUUCGGUAGAUGUUGCACAUUUGUUAGAAUAAUGGCAGGACUAUUCCAUUUCUCUGGAGUCAAUAAAUAAGAAUAUUUUUAUUUCUAUUUACUAUAUAUGUGCUUAUGAAUAUUGCUUAGGAUUAAAUAAAUAAGGUAAACAUUUAAAAUGUUUGAUCAGAAUCAAGUAGCUUUUGGCUGGAGGCACCUGGCUGUUCUUUCUCUGAGUCACCUUCAGGUUUACUGAAGACCUGAUCUGAAGUUGAGACACAAGGUGUGACCACAGUCAGAACCCUAUGCCAAAUAGGAUUAACAUCCGGUAACUGCUCUUGGCAAAGAGGUACUGAGUACUGAGCUGCAGUGUCAGCUGACCUCCGUGGAGCCCCUCCUCACCAUGGCUCCUGCUGCCUAGGGGCCACUGCUCUGAAGGUCAUCCCAUGAGGGACUCAGGUGGCUGCAGAUGUGUCUCAGAGGUUCCUGGGCAGGAAGGUGAACACCCCAAGGCCCAGGCUGCACAUGCUGGCUCUUUGUCUUUGGCGGAAGGACUUCUGUGUGGUGGGACCCCUGUCCGUGUAUCCCAUGCCUCUUGUCCUUCAGAAGACACUGCCCCUAGUGCCCUCUGCAGCUCUGUGAGGAGACGAGUCAGGGCUUGGAGUGCUGAAUUACAGGUAGCUGCUAGGGAUCCAGCCUGGUGCCCUUCCAAGGGUAGCACAGGAUCCUCUGAGACGUCCCCAGAUUGUGGGGACAUUUGGUGACUUCAGGGUGAAGUCAUGGUCAGAGUCAAUGGAAUACAGCACAUGUAGCCCUUUCCUAAUGCCAGUUGUAUUUUUAAAAUGUAUCUUUAAUUGGAGGAUAGUUACUUUACAAUAUUAUGUUGGCUUUUGCCAUACAAGAUGAUUCAGCUGUAAGCAUACAUAUGUCUCUUGCCUCUUGAACCUCCCCCCAUGUCCCACCCAAUUACACUCCUAUCCUGAAAGAUGAUGCUGUGGAAGUGCUGCACUCAAUAUGCCAGCAAA
rnacentral:lncRNA from 1 species